AUUGGCAACUCCACUGGCCUAUCUCAAUCAAUCAAUCAAAUGUAUUUAUAAAGCCCUUUUUACAUCAGCCGACGUCACAAAGUGCUGUACAGAAACCCAGCCUAAAACCCAGCUUAAAACCCCAAACAGCAAGCAAUGCUAUCUCUAACCCCCUCUUUCUAGUUCUUGAGCGAGUAGGGGAGAACCGGAAUGAAAGUAACACUUCGUUUUUUUCCUAAUUACUCUGAGAUCGAUAGAGCUAGACACCAUAUUUUAUGACAAACAACAUAUAUACAGUAUGUCCUCUACCAUUAGGAACUGUAAUUUAAUUUGUAGGGUAAAUGAGUUGAAAUGAAAUAGACUGAGAACAGAACUACUACAAUAUUACUUUUGUACCUGCCGGCGGGAGUAACACAACCUUGGGACGGAAGUAACAACUGGCUAGAAGUGCACAAUAUCGGUCUUAUCUCCAUGUUUCUGGACUUCAUUCUUAGCCCAAACGAUCAGGUGCACUCCAGCUGUUCUUGUCAUGCGAGCUUUAUUCUCUUCAGAAACGGACACUCAUCGUGCAUCAUGGCUUAACAUAAGUUCCAGUCCGGAGCCUCCAGCGACGCUCUCCAGUCCGGAGCCUCCGGACGACACAGAAGCGGGGGGAUCAGCGGGCGGUGUGGGGGCUACGCCCCGAACCAGAGCCGCCGCCAAGUAUAGAUGCCCACCCGGACCCUCCCCUAUAGGUUCAGGUUUUGCGGCCGGGAGUCCGCACCUUUGGGGGGGGGGGGUACUGUCACGCCCUGACCUGAGAGGGAGGGUUUGUUUCUCUAUGUGGUUAGGUCAGGGGGUGGUGUGGGCAUUCUAUGUUUUUGUAUUUCUCGGUUUUUGUUUUCUAGGUUUUGGCCGGGUAUGGUUUCCAAUCAGAGGCAGGUGUCUAUCGUUGUCUCUGAUUGGAAGCCAUACUUAGGCAGCCUGUUUUUCCUUUGGGUUUUGUGGGUAGUUGUUUUCUGUUUUGUUCCUUGUAACCUGACGGAACUGUUGACGGUUGUUUUGUUGUUUUGAGUUAGUGUUUUCAUUAAAGUAAAAU
rnacentral:lncRNA from 1 species